GAGUUGAUGCCUGAGUGGUCGAUAGGGGUGGACUGUAAAUCCAUUAAUUAUAUAUUGACAUCGGUUCAAAUCCGAUUCAACUCA
rnacentral:tRNA from 1 species